rnacentral:rRNA from 1 species
GACGAACGCUGGCGGCGUGCUUAACACAUGCAAGUCGAACGGAAAGGCCCUGCUUUUGUGGGGUGCUCGAGUGGCGAACGGGUGAGUAACACGUGAGUAACCUGCCCUUGACUUUGGGAUAACUUCAGGAAACUGGGGCUAAUACCGGAUAGGAGCUCCUGCUGCAUGGUGGGGGUUGGAAAGUUUCGGCGGUUGGGGAUGGACUCGCGGCUUAUCAGCUUGUUGGUGGGGUAGUGGCUUACCAAGGCUUUGACGGGUAGCCGGCCUGUGAGGGUGACCGGCCACAUUGGGACUGAGGUACGGCCCAGACUCCUACGGGAGGCAGCAGUGGGGAAUAUUGCACAAUGGGCGGAAGCCUGAUGCAGCAACGCUGCGUGCGGGAUGACGGCCUUCGGGUUGUAAACCGCUUUCGCCUGUGACGAAGCGUGAGUGACGGUAAUGGGUAAAGAAGCACCGGCUAACUACGUG